ACAGGAGUCGGCUCAAUGGGAGGACACGAUGCGCUGAAUAUCGCUGAUCCUGGUUCGAAUCCAGGCUCCUGUUCCA
rnacentral:tRNA from 1 species